rnacentral:tRNA from 1 species
GAAAUAAUUAAUUUAAGCUUCUAACUUAAAAAUAAGCGUUUAAAUCGUUUAUAUUUCU